UGGACCCUGUGAGGAGUAUAGUUGCAGGUU
rnacentral:piRNA from 1 species